rnacentral:rRNA from 1 species
CCUACGGGAGGCAGCAGUGGGGAAUCUUGCACAAUGGAGGAAACUCUGAUGCAGCGAUGCCGCGUGAGUGAAGAAGGCCCUUGGGUUGUAAGCUCUUUUGUCGGGAAAGAUAAUGACUGUACCCGAAGAAUAAGGUCCGGCUAACUUCGUGCCAGCAGCCGCGGUAAUACGAAGGGACCUAGCGUAAUUCGGAAUUACUGGGCGUAAAGCGCGCGUAGGCGGUUAAGUAAGUUAAUUGUGAAAGCCCAAAGCUCAACUUUGGAAUUGCAAUUAAAACUAUUUAGCUAGAGUUUAUCAGAGGAAAGCGGAAUACAUAGUGUAGAGGUGAAAUUCGUAGAUAUUAUGUAGAACACCAGUUGCGAAGGCGGCUUUCUGGGAUAACACUGACGCUGAGGUGCGAAAGUAUGGGUAGCGAAGAGGAUUAGAUACCCUCGUAGUCCAUACCGUAAACGAUGAUUGUUAGAUGUUGGAAAUUUAUUUUCAGUAUCACAGCUAACGCGUUAAACAAUCCGCCUGGGGAGUACGACCGCAAGGUUAAAACUCAAAUGAAUUGACGG